rnacentral:rRNA from 1 species
GACGAACGCUGGCGGCGUGCCUAAUACAUGCAAGUAGAACGCACAGUUUAUACCGUAGCUUGCUACACCAUAGACUGUGAGUUGCGAACGGGUGAGUAACGCGUAGGUAACCUGCCUGGUAGCGGGGGAUAACUAUUGGAAAUGAUAGCUAAUACCGCAUAAUAUUAAUUAUUGCAUGAUAAUUAAUUGAAAGGUGCAAUUGCACCACUACCAGAUGGACCUGCGUUGUAUUAGCUAGUAGGUGAGGUAACGGCUCACCUAGGCGACGAUACAUAGCCGACCUGAGAGGGUGAUCGGCCACACUGAGACUGAGACACGGCCCAGACUCCUACGGGAGGCAGCAGUAGGGAAUCUUCGGCAAUGGACGGAAGUCUGACCGAGCAACGCCGCGUGAGUGAAGAAGGAUUUCGGAUCGUAAAGCUCUGUUGUAAGAGAAGAACGGGUGUGAGAGUGGAAAGUUCACACUGUGACGGUAUCUGACCAGAAAGAGACGGCUAACUACGUG